ACUUACCUGGCUAAUUUGAUGAAUUAGAUUUUGAUUAGAUUGCUAAGUAAUUCGAGUUAGCCCAUGUCAUUAAGAUUGAUCAGUGUGACUGAUCUAGGUGCCAUUUCAAUCAGCAUGAUCCUAACCUGAUUCAGUGACUUGAUGAAGUCAGUGGGAGGAUUAUGAUCUACUGAUUGAUUUCUUCUCUUUUCUCUUCUCAAAAAUAAAAAUUAAAUUCUCUAAAUUAUUAGAUCUCUUAAAUAAGCUGGUUAUGAUGAUAACUAGAUCAUAGUCUCCCAUUAAGUUAGAUGAUAAUGGGUCCAUUAGUAUGAUGAUCAUUGGAGGCCCAAAGGCUUCAUGCUCAUCUGCUAUUGGAAUUAUCAUUCAUAAUAUGAUGACUUUGUUGAGUCUCUCUGUCAGGUGGUUAAGUUAGCCAGCUAAAGUCAGGCCUAAUCAUUUGGUAGUUAGAUUUGUAAGUAUGAUCGUGUUAAUGAUUGGACCUAACCAGGGGCUUACAGAGAAGAUCAAAGUCAUCUAAAAAGUUAUCUAGG
rnacentral:lncRNA from 1 species